GUGAGUCAUCGAAUCUUUGAACGCACCUUGCGCCCCGUGGUAUUCCGCGGAGCAUGCCUGUUUGAGUGUCACGUCAACCCUCACCCUUGCGAUGUCGAAGUCGCUCGUGGUGGACUUGGACCGUGCCGUAGUCGGCUCGUCCUGAAAUGCAUUAGCUUGCGCUUUUAGAGUGCUGGGCACCGGUGUGAUAAUUAUCUGCGCCAACGCCUUAGGCCUCUUCAGCGGCGCUGCUUACAGCCGUCCUGACGGACAACUAUUAUAAAGCUUUGGCCUCAAAUCAGGUAGGACUACCCGCUGAACUUAA
rnacentral:rRNA from 1 species